rnacentral:rRNA from 1 species
GACGAACGCUGGCGGCGUGCUUAACACAUGCAAGUCGAACGGUGAAACGCCUUCCUUUUUGGUGGGUGUGGAUGAGUGGCGAACGGGUGAGUAACACGUGAGUAACCUGCCCCCUUCUUCUGGAUAACCGCAUGAAAGUGUGGCUAAUACGGGAUAUUCUGGGUCUGUCGCAUGAUGGGUCUGGGAAAGAUAUUGUUUCGGUGGGGGAUGGGCUCGCGGCCUAUCAGCUUGUUGGUGGGGUGAUGGCCUACCAAGGCGGUGACGGGUAGCCGGCCUGAGAGGGUGGACGGUCACACUGGGACUGAGACACGGCCCCGACUCCUACGGGAGGCAGCAGUGGGGAAUAUUGCACAAUGGGCGCAAGCCUGAUGCAGCGACGCCGCGUGAGGGAUGGAGGCCUUCGGGUUGUGAACCUCUUUCGCCAGUGAAGCAGGCCUGCCUCGUUUGUGGGUGGGUUGACGGUAGCUGGAUAAGAAGCGCCGGCUAACUACGUG